rfam:Sporothrix schenckii ATCC 58251 unplaced genomic scaffold supercont1.5, whole genome shotgun sequence.
GGGCCUUUGGUCUAGUGGUAUGGCGUUCGCUUAGCAUGCGAAAGGUCCUGGGUUCGAUUCCCAGAUGGUCCA